CUACCCGGGUAUCUAAUCCUGUUUGCUCCCCACGCUUUCGCGCCUCAGCGUCAGAACCGGACCAGUUGGCCGCCUUCGCCACUGGUGUUCUUGCGAAUAUCUACGAAUUUCACCUCUACACUCGCAGUUCCACCAACCUCUUCCGGUCUCGAGCCAAACAGUAUCAAAGGCAAUUCUGUGGUUGAGCCACAGGCUUUCACCCCUGACUUGAUCGGCCGCCUACGCGCCCUUUACGCCCAGUGAUUCCGAGCAACGCUAGCCCCCUUCGUAUUACCGCGGCUGCUGGCAC
rnacentral:rRNA from 1 species